CUUCACCGAGCCGAUCCACAAGGGACGGUCGGCGGCGCUCUCCUUGCCGUAGGUGGCGAGCAGCGCCUGGACCUC
rnacentral:antisense_RNA from 1 species